GUCAGAUGGUCUGGUAUUCCCAUCUCUUGAAGAAUUUUCCACAGUUUAUUGUGAUCCGCACAGUCAAAAGCUUUGCCAUAGUCGAUAAAGCAGAAAUAGAUGUUUUUCUGGAACUCUCUUGCUUUUUCGAUUAUCCAGGGGAUGUUGGCAAUUUGAUCUCUGGUUCCUCUGCCUUUUCAAAAACCGGCUUGAACCCAGGUCUCCCGCAUUGUAGGCAGACACUUUACCGUCUGAGCCACCAGGGAAGUGUGUGAGAUGAGUGCAAUUGUGUGGUAGUUUGAUCAUUCUUUGGCAUUGCCUUUCUUUGAGAUUGGAAUGAAAACUGACCUUUUCCAGUCCUAUGGCCACUGCUGAGUUUUCCAAAUUUGCUGGCAUAUUGAGUGCAGCACUUUCACAGCAUCAUCUUUCAGGAUUUGAAAUAGCUCAACUGGAAUUUCAUCACCUCCACUAGCUUUGUUCGUAGUGAUGCUUUCUAAGGCCCACUUGACUUCACAUUCCAGGAUAUCUGGCUCUAGGUGAGUGAUCACACCAUAGUGAUUAUCUGGGUCAUGAAGAUCUUUUUUGUACAGUUCGUGUAUUCUUGCCACCUCUUCUUAAUAUCUUUUGCUUCUGUUAGGUCCAUGCCAUUUCUGUCCUUUAUUGAGCCCAUCUUUGCAUGAAAUGUUCCCUUGGUAUCUCUAAUUUUCUUGAAGAGAUCUCUAGUCUUUCCCAUUCUGUUGUUUUCCUCUAUUUCUUUGCAUUGAUCGCUGAAGAAGGCUUUCUUAUCUCUCCUUGCUAUUCUUUGCAACUGUGCAUUCAGAUGCUUAUAUCUUUCCUUUUCUCCUUUGCCUUUCGCUUCUCUUCUUUUCACAGCUAUUUGUAAGCCUUCCUCAAACAGCCAUUUUGCUUUUUUGCAUUUCUUUUCCAUGGGGAUGGUCUUGAUCCCUGUCUCCUGUACAAUGUCAUGAACUUCCAUCCAUAGUUCAUCAGGUACAAUGUCUAUCAGAUCUAGUCCCUUAAAUCUAUUUCUCACUUCCCCUGUGUAGUCAUAAGGCAUUUGAUUUAGGUCAUACCUGAAUGGUCUAGUGGAUUUCCCUACUUUCUUCAAUUUAACUCUAAAUUUGGUAAUAAGGAGUUCAUGAUCUGAGCCACAGUCAGCUCCCGGUCUUGUUUUUGCUGACUGUAUAGCCUGUCAUAAAGUACCUUAAUAAAAGUGACUUAAUUGAUUUCUAAUAAGUAGCUUAAUAUAGUGUAUUUCAGUUUUAAUUUAAGCGACACUGGGCUUGACAUUUUUUUUUCUUUAUAAUUGUCUGAAAACCAGGAAAGUAGAAG
ensembl:lncRNA